CCUACGGGUGGUAGCAGUGAGGAAUAUUGGUCAAUGGGCGCGAGCCUGAACCAGCCAAGUAGCGUGAAGGAUGACUGCCCUACGGGUUGUAAACUUCUUUUAUAAAGGGAUGAAGUGAGGCACGUGUGCCUUUUUGUAUGUACUUUAUGAAUAAGGAUCGGCUAACUCCGUGCCAGCAGCCGCGGUAAUACGGAGGAUCCGAGCGUUAUCCGGAUUUAUUUGGUUUAAAGGGAGCGUAGAUGGGUUGUUAAGUCAGUUGUGAAAGUUUCGGGCUCAACCGUAAAAUUGCAAUUGAUACUGGCAGUCUUGAGUACAGUUGAGGUAGGUGGAAUUCGUGGUGUAGCGGUGAAAUGCGUAGAUAUCACGAAGAACUCCGAUUGCGAAGGCAGCUUACUAAACUGACACUGACGUUGAUGCGCGAAAGUGUGGGUAUCAAACAGGAUUAGAUACCCUGGUAGUC
rnacentral:rRNA from 1 species